AACAAUUCAUUUAUUAUGAAAUGGAGGGAGUAAUAUUUAUAAAUAUGGGUAAAACCGUAAAAGCAAAAACAACUAAUUAAUAAGUAAUAAUUAUAUCUGGAGGGAAACCAAGAGGUUGAGAUCCGACCCGGCAACUGAAUCGGACCUGAAAAAUUCUACAUAACAAAAUUGUGGCAGAUAUUGCUCUCUUCUUUUUCUGUAGAGGAUUUUGCCAUACUGCUUCUUCCUUGAUUCUUGAAGUUGAUCGGUCAUGGGAAAUAAGCCAGCAAAGCCGAAGAGAGAUGAGGUUCUUCUGAAGAUUGUGCCUCCUUUGGAUCAAGCAUAUACCCGUUGGCUUGCUAAGGACCUUGAGAGAAUUUAUGGCUUCACUCCAAGAAACCCUCGUGCUGUAAGGCCACCGGAUCAUUACAUUGAAUACAUGCACUUACAGGGAUGGUUGGAUGUCAGCUUAGAUGACCCUGACCUUGCGCGUCUACUUAAAUAAUGGAGUAAAUCAACUGCAAUAUUCUAAGAGCAUGUAUAAACUUGAGCCAAACCUUAAGCUUCAAAUUGAUAGUUUUCUGUACUGGUACAGUGAGUUUCAGAUGCUGAGCAGUGGUGUGAUUUAUGAAAUGGAAAUCUUGUCAAAUAUCA